UGCCAGCAGUACGAGAAAGCUUUGUUAAACGUUAACAGCACUAACUCUGGCAUAAUCAUUUGCAUACAGAAAUCGUGAUGCUCUUCUCUCUUUGCUCUAUCCGUUCAUUCAUGUGAUUGAACACCGACAAUUACAUCAAAAUAGAUUUACAAACCAGCAUUUGUAGACUAAAGGUAGAAGAUAGGGAUGAAGUGCCAACCUUUUCUACACUGGAUGUGCAAUCUGUAGCAAAUUAUGUGGAGAGUUUGUGUAGCAACAGUAGAAAUACAGGGUGUCCAACAAAGAACUCUCUAACAUUAGAAUUAAAUACAACAUUUGAAGACAGUGUCCCGAAAAAAUGGUUAUUCUGAGACACACAUACAUAAUUCAUUCAGUGCCAGGCGAGUUCAAUCUAUGGAGCAGAAUGAGGAUACGAAGACACCCACCACUCUGGCCUUUUUUGGUGCCAUGUCAUUAAGAACCAGGAGAGUCCUUGGAAGAUAUGGAAUUCGGUGUGUUUUUCAACCAUCUGCAAAACUGAGAAACCUGUUUGGUUCAGUUAAGGAUGAUCUUGGCCUGAGGAAAUGUGGUGUGUACAAGAUUCCUUGUCAAUGUGGGGCAGCGUAUAUAGGCCAGACAUGCCGCACGGUACAAAAACGCUGAGAUGAACAUGUGCGUCGUACACGCCUACACCAACCAGAAAAGUCGGCAAUUACGGAACACUGACUGAAUACAGGACAUCGCAUGAUAUAUGAAAAGAUGGAAAUUUUAUCACUGGCACCCUCUUUCUGGGAUUGUGUCAUUACGGAAGUAAUACAUAUCCAUACAGCUGAUAAUCUCAUCAACAGGGAAGUGGGAUUUCAACUGAGCAGAGCCUGGAACCCUACAUUGACUGCUAUUAAAUCACGGCACAAAAAUCAAGAUUCUUCAAUAACAGACUCGUCAUAACAUUGGUCUAGUAUGGUCUUUGGUGAGAAAUGACUGGUCACACUGUUAGCAAAUGCUGCAUACAGUGCACGCACUGGAGAGCCGCUCUGCGAUUUUUGGCAGAGGGCAUUUGAACGUGGCACCAUCUAACUGCAAAUCAUUGCACAUGCACAACUUCUGUGCCUGCGCAUACUUUGCACGCGUGUUCUAGAAAUGGGGUGUCGACGUGCGGAUACUGUCAGUCGUACCUAGCCACCGGCAAGGUUAAAUCACCUAAAGAUGUCGGACAGUUGCUCCGAGGAAACUUUGGGGAAUUUGCACGUGACCCGUCAGCAAACCUGUGAAGACUAUUUGCAACAUAUUUAUAUAUAUUUCUACAGCCAAAGUGAGUAAUACUCUAAACGUUCACUAAGGCAGUUCAAGUAAUCUGCCUAAACAUCUUUUUUGAAAUUUCCUCUAUCCUAGUUCUUGUAGGGAAGGAUGUAAAUAAUUAUAUACUUUAGGUUGACCCUAGCUUCACUUUCUAAGAACUGUGUGUAGCUCUUGGAAAUAUAUUUUUCUUAAGAUAAGAAACCAAGGGCAACAGCAUGUUAAUGGAGUAUUUCCUUUAUCAUCUGACCUCACCUUACCAAAUUUCUUUAGUUUUUCUCUCUUUCUCUAAGGUGUUCCACUUUGAUCUUACUACAUUAACUCAAACUCUAGAAAAAAAUAUUGCUCUUUAAUUGCCUCUUGCUACAGACCAAUGCAAGUAGUUGGGUUAAGUAAAUGUCUUUGCACUAACAAUACUUCACUGAAUGUUUCCACAGUGCCAUGUUUGAAUAGUAAAUCUAAUCAAUAUUUUUUUAGAGGUAUCUGUCUACUGAAGUGUCCUACUAUGCAUUAAAAUCAUCUUUUCCACUAGAAGUGUGACAGUAUCAUUAUUGAUGUGGGAAUCAAUUACUCCAGUUCAUUAAACCACAUCAGCAUUUCUCAGUUUAAAGAAAUUGCAGUGAAAUGCAUAUGAAAUGUGAUUCCUCAAAUUGAGUAGAUUGUACAGUUGGAAUGAACUGUAGAAUAACAAGUGGUAUUGUUCUGUUGGGCUACAAACAGUUGGUGGUGCCAACUAUAAGAAUUUGUGAUCAUAGAUAUUAGUGCCUAUGGUAAACAAUUCAUGGAAGUGUGUUCAGAUAAACUACUCUGUAAAAAAUAAAAA